ensembl:miRNA gmo-mir-19b-2 gmo-mir-19b-2
AGUUUUGCUGGUUUGCAUUCCGCUGGAGAUUGCGUUGGUGUGCAAAUCCAUGCAAAACUGA